rnacentral:rRNA from 1 species
GAUGAGCCCGCGUCGGAUUAGCUAGUUGGUGGGGUAAUGGCCUACCAAGGCGACGAUCCGUAGCUGGUCUAAGAGGAUGAUCAGCCACAUUGGGACUGAGACACGGCCCAAACUCCUACGGGAGGCAGCAGUGGGGAAUAUUGGACAAUGGGCGCAAGCCUGAUCCAGCCAUGCCGCGUGAGUGAUGAAGGCCCUAGGGUUGUAAAGCUCUUUCAGUGGGGACGAUAAUGACGGUACCCACAGAAGAAGCCCCGGCUAACUUCGUGCCAGCAGCCGCGGUAAUACGAAGGGGGCUAGCGUUGUUCGGAAUUACUGGGCGUAAAGCGCACGUAGGCGGAUAUUUAAGUCAGGGGUGAAAUCCCGGGGCUCAACCCCGGAACUGCCUUUGAUACUGGGUAUCUUGAGUGUGGUAGAGGUGAGUGGAAUUGCGAGUGUAGAGGUGAAAUUCGUAGAUAUUCGCAGGAACACCAGUGGCGAAGGCGGCUCACUGGACCACAACUGACGCUGAGGUGCGAAGCGUGGGGAGCAAACAGGAUUAGAUACCCUGGUAGUCCACGCC